GGCUUUCUGAUCAGAGUUCAGAUAAAGAGGGUCACAGUAAUUUGUGGGCACUGACUAAAAUAACCCAAUGGAUUUGAGAGUUACUGCAAAAGAAGCAAACAGACAAACUAAAGAGGGACUUCAACUAUGAACUUGGUGAUGAGCCAGAGAAGGUAACUUUUCAUCCCCUGCAAGACCUCAAAAUGAAAGGGGCAAUUAUACCCUUGGUGAUUCUUAAUUGUCCCAAUUAACGAAGUCAGUUUCUGGAGUCUGAGCUGAAAAUGAAGCUUACAAUGCACCCUCAAUACAUAACAUUUGCCCAGAGGCCUUUAUUCUUCUUAUAGCGGUUCUGCUGUGAAUUUGUAGGGAAUGGACUCCAACAGCUCCAGCUACUUUCCACUGGGUCUCACAAAGUGGCUUCUCGAAGCAGGCUGGGGCUUCCCUUGAACCCAGAUUCCCACUUAUGUACCCAAAGGAGCAACUCCAUGUUUUCCAAAAGGCCUGAAGAACAUAUAGCAGUAGAGAAGAAAGCCUUAAAAACCCUUGAGUGAAUGAUUGGUAUUUACAGACAAGCAAAUGUAUGGAAGAGAAACAAGAGACCCAUCCUGAAUCCGCUGAAUGAACAAAAGGGGAAAUGUCCUGAGGAGUCAGAUGGAAGAAGGUUUUCUGGGAAGAGCAGAACAGAGGAGUUGGGGUUCAGACCUCCUGGAUCACAAGCAGACGGAAAAGAGCAGUGAGACUUUAAAGUGAUUGAGACAAAAAUGGAAGUAAAACAGCUUAAGGCUUUCUGAGAUUGAGUUCCUGGCAGUGUCAUUAGCAGAUAGUUUCUUCUGAAGUUCAGGGGAAGAGAAGAUGCUUGAAGGACUUUCCAGGGACUGAGUGGGUGGUACAGAGCUAGUGCUGUAGAUGCCAUGUAUACAGGCAAAUUCCCCAAUGAGUGUUUUCCAAUAUCAAGUUUAACUGGCAUUUAAGAUAUAUGCCAAAGGUAGGUGAAUUAUUUUGGCCUGUGCUUAUAGGUUUAUUUCCCUGGAUGAAGCUAUCUGUCUCUGUCCUAGUGCACUGUAGCAGAUGCAGGCUCUUUCCAUACAAUACAUUAAAAGCUGCAUCUCAUUUUAAAUAUAGAAACCCUGAUCAUACAAUACAUACAAGAUUUUUAAGAUCAGCCUUCAGUCAAUUUUUUUUGCUUUAUUUUUCUUCUGGAGGUCAAAAUGAAUGGUUAACUGUCUAAGUUGACUGCAGAGAAAGUUACUACUCAUUCUAAACGUAGGUUUUUAGAAAAGUGUUCUUGGCAGUUGCUUCCAUUGGCUUUUUCAAACUUACAUGGGAAUCAAGAUCCAGAACUGGUACACCAAUGGGAAGAGCCUGGAAAAUAGACUAUUGAUCAAGAUGAAUCUGGUCCAGAUACUUUAAGACCUUUUCAGUGUAUUUGAAAGAUUAUAAGUUUGAACUAACAGAAACUUCAAUGCUGUUUUUUCACUAGCCAAUGCGUAGUGUACUUUGUUAUUCUUUUUUUUCCUGUAAUAUCUUAAUAAUAUUCCUGGCUGUAAGGAAAAGUUAACACUAUACCUAUGUUUUGUCUUACUUUAUAGAUGACCCAAACAAUAUUUAACAAAAGGAUUUUUCUCAAAUACUAUUUUGAAAUCACUAUAUUAGACACUAUCUUAAAUUUAUUUCUCAAUAUGCUUCUUUUUGAAACUUCCACAUUUUGGUGUUCUUUUCAGCAUCACUCAUUUUCUCUCAUAAUAAAGAUACCCAAUAACAAUAUCAUAAUAAA